UAGAAUCUGAAGUAGAGGGAGAGGAAGAAGAAUCUGAGACUGAAGACACAGUGAGAGGAGAAAUAGAGAGAAGAUGCCACCCACAUAUCUGGACAGAAAACAUAAUGCAAUAUCGCCAGGACAGCCUUACAGAGUCGCGACGCUUUGUGUCGCGUUGCACCGCAUCGCGUUGCAUCGCGGUGAGGUCUGUAUGAUCACAAAAUUCAGAGUUUACCCACCUCUAAUUUUACCACUACAGCACUGCCCCCCUCCCCAACCCCCCCAGCGGAAUACGUUGGACUUGAGCUUCAGAAUCGGCUCGGGUAACGAUCCUCUCCGUGAUACAGCCAAAGCAGUUUAUGAUGGGAAAAGGUUACGGAGAUUUGGGGUACAGACGGUCGGGACGUUGUCUGUCGUAAACUUGACGCAAACUCGGUCUGUCGCCCUCUACAGUUUGGGAGGGUGGAGAAGAAGAAGAAGCGAAGAAGUUCAACAUUUAUUCUUGACCCUGGAAACAGCCGCUGAGAACAAACUCAACCCAUUCGUUUUUACUUUGUAACUUAAGAUAACCACUGUUAGUACAGCACAAUUAACAUAAGGUAGGCGGAAUAAGUCCCAGAAGUUGUUGUUCUGUUUUUUUUAAAUUAAAAUCCAGAACAUCAGAGACAAUGACAAAAACUAUGAUCAAUGAAUAUGAUUAGUAUUUUUUCCUUAUGUACUGCACGCCCCCUCGAUCCGUGGGUUAAUACGACCUCCUCCCAAGCAUGCAUGCAGGUCACGCUGCCACAGCUUGUUUAAUCGGAUUAUUGUGUUGCACGCUAUAGCGCAUCUUGUUAAAUUGAGAUGCAGCCAUAGAAAUAAAUGACCUUUUAAACUCAGUUGGUUCUGAAUUCCACUGAAAAUGACUGAGAAAAUGAAUGAGAUGUUUCCUUGUAGGUCUUGGCUGUCUGCAUCGCAUUGAUCUUUCCAUGGGUCUUAACAAUUUUUCAUAGGACGAUUUACUAACUGCUCAGAAGCUUUUAAUUGGAUUACGAUAAUGGAGUGUAAUGGGAUUUACAUUUUUCUGAGCACUUGGUACUUAUGGUUGUAUUUAUGUCAGAGGCUGAGGUGCGAAGUUCAUUUCCUUCCUGGAAAACAACUAUUUGCAAACAACGGUUAUUAGCUCAUACUAUCAUUAUGCCAACAUGGUUCAUCAUAAAGAUUUGGUAUGAAUAUGCUUUAGAACUGCUACUAACUAGACAUUGAGAUUUUCCUAACAUGUCUUUCUUCUGUUUCACAGUAAAUCUACACUACAGUAGGCCUUCUGUUGCACAAGGGCCUGUUUAAAACGUGAGCGCAAUGAAAAAUUAAAGCUAUCAAUAUUUGUACUACAUGUAUUUUCCAGUAAUUAUUUUCCAGAUUAUGCACCUGGUUUGAAUUCAAAUAGACUUGCAUCAAUAAAUAUACUCACUUAAGUAGACAGAAACACUAUAUAUUUUUUAUGCUAUUUUAUUUUGGGCUUGUGUCUAUUCUAUUUUGUUGUCUUAUGUUCUUUGAGUCUCCCGCUGUCGCGUCCAUAGCUGUAUUGUAUUUAAAAACAAUACUGUCACAAAAGUGAUUUUAAUGUUUUAAUGAUGAUGAUCAUUGAACUACAUGCACAAUAUAAAUAAUGCCUAAAUCCAACACUCCCUGUGUGUCAGGUUUCCUCAUUUGAAUGUGAUCCUGUGCUUUGGACACGGCUUAUGUUACAACUUUACACUAUUUGCCUUCAGUUGAUUCUACGUCAUUUUGACAGUGUGGACAAAAGGGGCCAUUUCGUUUUACAAAGUUUGCACUUUGAAUGUUCAUCGCAGGGGUGACAUUGGUUAUAUAUGCAAUCAAGUUAUAUGCACAUCACAAGUGCACAAAUUGAUUAUUCAUUGAAUGCUGACUGAAGAUUUUAUAUUUCACCCAUAAAUCACCAUGUAUAAGGAAACUCCACUGUGACCAGUAUCACUUGCAUUACUUUGGCUGACAGGGGUCACAGAGUGAUGAUAAUGAUACACUCACAUAACAGCACAAGAAGCCUCUAAUUAAGCGUUUUUACGCAUUUAUUUUUUCUAACAUGAUCAUCCAAACUGGCUGACCGUUUUAAUUAAAUGCAUGCCUGUGUCUGUUAUCUGUGCAUCCUAAAUCUCUCAAUUGAAUCCACAGUUUGUUGUUAUUCUCCUGCUGGUGUUCAUGACGGAAGUGUCUGUGGUGGUUCUCGGGUACGUUUACAGAGCAAAGGUUGAAAAGGAAGUAAAUGUUUCCAUCAAGAAAGUGUUCGAUGAGUACAAUGGCACCAAUAGCAAUGCCCAGAGCAGUGCCAUCGACUACAUUUAAAGACAGCUCCAGUGUUGUGGGAUCCACAAUUACUCAUACUGGCAGAAUACACGCUGGUAUGAACACUCCAAAAACAACAGCGCACCCAUCAGCUGUUGCAACAAUAACUUUGGAGGCUGCAGAUCUCUACCAAGAAGUAAUGAGAACUCUAAAUGUGUCCUAAACCAAACACUGUUUUUUGGGGUUUUUUAAGAGGAGUGACUGGUGUUUAAACAUAUUCUGUGUGUGUAUGUGUCAAGGUUAUUAUCGUUAACGAAAACUAACGAAAAAACAAAAACGAGGUGUGAUUUU